rnacentral:rRNA from 1 species
AGUGAACGCUGGCGGUAGGCCUAACACAUGCAAGUCGAACGGCAGCACAGUAAGAGCUUGCUCUUACGGGUGGCGAGUGGCGGACGGGUGAGGAAUACAUCGGAAUCUACUUUUUCGUGGGGGAUAACGUAGGGAAACUUACGCUAAUACCGCAUACGACCUACGGGUGAAAGCAGGGGAUCUUCGGACCUUGCGCGAUUGAAUGAGCCGAUGUCGGAUUAGCUAGUUGGCGGGGUAAAGGCCCACCAAGGCGACGAUCCGUAGCUGGUCUGAGAGGAUGAUCAGCCACACUGGAACUGAGACACGGUCCAGACUCCUACGGGAGGCAGCAGUGGGGAAUAUUGGACAAUGGGCGCAAGCCUGAUCCAGCCAUACCGCGUGGGUGAAGAAGACCUUCGGGUUGUAAAGCCCUUUUGUUGGGAACGAAAAGCAGCAGGUUAAUACCCCGCUGUUCUGACGGUACCCAAAGAAUAAGCACCGGCUAACUUCGUG